rnacentral:rRNA from 2 species
UUCGCAAUGCCCGAAAGGGUGACGAAGCGACGCCGCGUGCGGGAAGAAGGCCUUCGGGUUGUAAACCGCUGUCGGGAGUUAAGAAAUGCAAGGGUGUUAACAGCAUCCUUGCUUGACUAAGGCUCCGGAGGAAGCCACGGCUAACUCUGUGCCAGCAGCCGCGGUAAUACAGAGGCGGCAAGCGUUGUUCGGAAUUAUUGGGCGUAAAGAGCACGUAGGCGGCCGUGUAAGUCGGUUGUGAAAGCCUUCCGCUCAACGGAAGAACGGCAUCCGAUACUGCAUGGCUUGAGUGCGGGAGGGGAGAGUGGAACUUCUGGUGGAGCGGUGAAAUGCGUAGAUAUCAGAAGGAACACCGGCGGCGAAGGCGACUCUCUGGCCCGUAACUGACGCUGAGUGUGCGAAAGCUAGGGGAGCAAACGGGAUUAGAUACCCCGGUAGUCCUAGCCGUAAACGAUGGGCACUAAGUAGAGGGGUUUU